GAUUAGGAGGAAGAAAAAAAAUCCAGACCAGCAAUUUACAAAUCAGCUCCUCUAGGACAGAAGAUGUACUUAACAAACAAACUUUUUUCAAGACACAGAGACCCAGAUCAGACUUCUUCCAUGGCUGCGCUUGCUGGUCUCCACACAAUGAGAAAUAGAUACUUAAGGUUGCUGCCAUCCUCAGGACUCUUGCUGCUGUUUUUGCCAUUGGGAUUUGCAGCCCUGGAAACAAGAUAUAUCAAAGAGUGUGGACCAUCCUGGAAUGUGUCCUCUGAAAUACAUAUAGACUGCCAGGACUUUAACGAG
rnacentral:lncRNA from 1 species